AUUGAACGCUGGCGGCAUGCUUUACACAUGCAAGUCGAACGGUAACAGGCCGCGAGGUGCUGACGAGUGGCGGACGGGGGCGUAAUGCAAAGGAACGUGCAACGUCGCGGGGGAUAACGACUCACAAGGGGAGCUAAUACCGCAUACGGUCUAAGAAUGAGAGCGGGGGACCGUAAGAGCGAGCGCGGUUGGUGCGGCCACUGACAGAUUAGCUAGUUGGUGGGGUAAAGGCUCACCAAGCCAACGAUCUGUAGCUGGACUGAGAGGACGAGCAGCCACACUGGGACUGAGACACGGCCCAGACUCCUACGGGAGGCAGCAGUGGGGAAUUUUCGACAAUGGGCGCAAGCCUGAUCCAGCAAUGCCGCGUGCAGGAAGAAGGUCUUCGGGUUGUAAACUGCUUUUGUACGGAACGAAACGGUUCUGGUUAAUCCCCGGGCCUAAUGACGGUACCGUAAGAAUAAGCACCGGCUAACUACGUG
rnacentral:rRNA from 1 species